GACGAACGCUGGCGGCGUGCUUAACACAUGCAAGUCGACAUGAGUGGCGAACGUGUGAGUAAUACGUGGUUAACCUGCCCUCAUUUUUUGGCUAAUCCUUGGAAACGGUGUCUACUACCGAAUAAAUGGGGAUGGGCUCGCUGCCUAUCAGCUUGUUGGUGGGGUGAUGGCCUACCAAGUCGUUGACGGGUAGCCGGCCUGAGAGGGUGAACGGCCACAUGGGGACUGAGAUGCGGCCGAGAGUCCUAAGGGGGGCAGCAGUGUGGGAUAGUGCACAAUGGGUGAAAGCGUGAUGCAGCGUCGCCGCAUGGGGGAGGAGGGCUUUCGGGUUGUAAACGUCUUUAGCUAUCGAACGGGUAGGUGGAGAAGAAGCGCCGGCUAACUACGUGCCAGCAGCCGCGGUAAUAC
rnacentral:rRNA from 1 species